GACCUCCCUUCUGUUUGUCGCCCAAGGAUCUAGGCCAGGGGAUUCCUGUCUUUCAGUGGUUUGAAGCCCUUGCUUGAGUGGAGUUACGUGUGUUUUUGCUUGGUGCCUACUGGGUGGGGUAAAGGCUUUUCCUCUGGGCUGGCGUCUGUGUCAGUCCCCACUAAUUUAACAUCUUUUCUCUUUGCCCAGGAGCCCAUCCGGUUACGGUAUAAGCUGACCUUCAACCAAGGCGGACAGCCUUUCAGUGAAGUAGGAGAAGUGAAAGACUUUCCAGAUCUGGCUGUCUUGGGUGCUGCCUAAGUUCUCACAGGACAGACCCUGUCAUGCAAGCUUAGGCCUGCAUUCCUGUUGCUGUCUAGAUAGGACUAAUCACAGCGAUUAGUGCCAAGUGCCAAGUGUUCUAUCCUGACGUCAGGUUCUGGAUGCCGACCUCUGACUUAUUCUGCAGAUAAUUGUGUGUGUGUGUGUGUGUGUGUGUGUGUGUGUGUGUGUGUGUGUGUGUGUGUUGCAGGGGAGUUGAGGACGGGAGGGGACGCAGGGCUUGGGACACAGGCAGGGUGGGAAAUGCUAAGCAUUUCUGAUCCCCAUCCGCCACGAUCCUAGCCUGGUUUUGUGUGUUGGUGAACACCGAAGUCCCUCCCGGCCUCGGGACUGGAGGUUUUUGAAGCCAAAGGUGUUGUCGUUUUCCAUGUAUUAUUAUCUUUUCAUUCAUCCACUCUGUGCCUUGUCAGCCUUUGAAAGUCUUGGUUGCGCCCAGGCUGCUGUUCUCAGGGACCUUACAAGGGACCUGGUUGGUCUUGGGGCAGAGAGUGUCUUCUAGGAUACUCUUCCAAGAGAGACCUUGUCUCCAUUUCCAUGAGAGAAUGCUGCUUGCACGUGUUCGGGAGGCUCUUCUAAACGGGAUGCGCGUGCCACCGUUUCCUAGGCGAGGGGCUGCCGUUAGACCAGAGGACCACGCCUGGUGGGCCAAUCAUGUGCUUCACCGCUGUGCCUUAGACUCCCCCAGGGCAGGUGGACCCUCAGGGCAGAGGGGCAAGCAGAUCCCAGAUCCCAGCAAUCCCAUGGGUUGGGCAGCCUGUCUGGAGCCUUCCUCGGGACCCUCAUCUCCAUCCGCAUCUCCACGAGCACUGACCCAGAGCUCUUUGAUUGUGACUUCACAAUCCACGAUGAAGAACUGUGAUGCCAAUAAGAUCUAA
rnacentral:lncRNA from 1 species